rnacentral:rRNA from 1 species
GAAACUCAAAAAAUUUGGCGGUAUUUUAGUCUAUUUAGAGGAACCUGUAGUGUAAUCGAUAAUCCACGAUGGACCUCACUUAAUUUUGUUUAUCAGUUUGUAUACCGCUGUUAUUUGAAAAUUUUAUAAGAAUAUUAAUUUUCAUAAAUUUUUAUUAAAAAAUAAAUCAGGUCAAGGUGCAGCUAAUAAUUAAGUAUUUAUGGGUUACAAUAAAUUUAUUUAUACGGAUAAAAAUAUGAAAUUAUUUUUUGAAGGUGGAUUUAAUAGUAAAUUUUUAUAGAUUAAAAAAUUGAUUUUAGCUCUAAAAUAUGCACACAUCGCCCGUCGCUCUUGUUAUUAAUAUAAGAUAAGUCGUAACAUAGUAGAUGUACUGGAAAGUGUAUCUAGAAUGACAAUUUAAAGCUUUUUUAGCAAAGCAUUUCACUUACACUGAAAAGAUUAUUGUGCAAAUCAAUAUAAAUUGAUAAUAUAUAAUUAUUAAUAUUUUUUGUUAUAUUUUUAUUAUUAAAAAUAAUUAUUUAUUUUGUUGUAGUAUAGUAUAUAGAACUAAUAAUUUUAAUGAUAGUGUAUUAUGUAUUGUGAAAGAAUUU